CGAUGGAGUCGGAGCUGGAGCCAAAGCCUCAGAUUUAAAACAAUGACUCCGGAGCCGGUGCCGGAACGUAACUUAUUUCAAGCCAGCUCCCCAGCCCUGCUUACAACUAGGGCUCUAAAUAAGAGGUAUGUUCAUCCGCCUUGGUGUUCGCUCAUUCAUCAGUCUAAUAAGAACAGCUAUUUAACUUUUAUAAGCAUUCAUUUCUUUGCAAUUUGUAAAGAAAAUACCAUGUAUUUUCUGUUAUUGGUUAUCCUAGUUUAUAUGUAUAUUUGUCGAUAUGAUAAAUAUUAGGCAAUUUCUUCGAUAAAAUAUUAUUAUUAAUGUUACCAAUGCAUUUUUAUUAAAUUCCGUAUUUUAAGAAACCGAACUGAUAUUAAAUGAUGAAUGCAUUUAUAUUUUUAAACACUUUUAUACGCUGAAUUAUAUAUUUUUCUCUUUAAAAUGAUAUAUUUAUAGAAAUCAAGAUCUCCUGUAAAAGUGCAACCUGCAAAGUUUUUUCAUCCCUGGUCUAUAUUGAUUACACAAAUCGUGGCCCUCUAGUUGAUUUGUUGGCGGCUCAUCUCACAUGUCUAUUCUGACAAGUUACACGAUCAACGAAAUAUUUGUAGUUUUGAACAAUGCAUUUUCAAGUAAUAUUUUUCUGAUGUGAAAUUAUUUUUACAAUGAUUCGAU
rnacentral:lncRNA from 1 species